CUUCGUCGAUCUGCUGCGGGCUGAUGAAGUGGAUGUGCGUAUCGAUGCCGCCCGCCGUCACGAUCAACCCUUCGCCGGCGAUCACUUCGGUGGCCGCGCCGAUCGCAAUCGUCACGCCGGGUUGAAUGUCCGGAUUGCCGGCCUUGCCGAUUGCGAAGAUACGGCCAUUCUUGAUGCCGAUAUCGGCCUUGACGAUGCCCCAGUGAUCGAGGAUCACCGCGUUGGUCACGACCGUAUCCACGACGUCGGCGUGCACGCGUUGCGACUGGCCCAUGCCGUCGCGAAU
rfam:Paraburkholderia phenazinium strain GAS95 genome assembly, contig: Ga0132017_13